AAAAAUUAAAAAAAAAUUAAAAAAUACUGAAAAAUCUUCCCUUCAAUAUACAAACGCAUCCUUUACUGGGAACUAAAAAAAAAUCGACAAUUACUGCUCACAGCUCUCAGCUCCCUGCAAACCAUCUCCCUACACAGGUUUUAGUUCUGCAAAAAUGUCGCGUGUAGACGUGGAAACUUGGAUCCACGGGUGACUGAGCUAGAGCUUAAAGAAGAGUUUUGUGUUUUCGGAGUUAUUUGAAGGGCCUUGCUUUUCAUGACUUUCAGUGGAGGAGAAACUGAAGGCAAUGCGCUGUCAGCUUUGGUGAAAGUGAACAACAGAAAUUGAGUUAGAUGAUGCUGCUCUCAUUUCUAUAGACAACAGAGGAACUGAUGUUUGUGUUCGUCAAGGGGCUCAGUUCAACAUACAGAGGAUAUCGUUUGAAGAAGGGCAUGCUGUUGAGACUCUUGAAGAAGCCAAAUCUGCUCUCCAGCAGUUAAUAAAGAAUUGUCAGAUUUAGAAUUUCCAAAAAUGAACAGAGUGAAAACUUUAUGAUCUAUUAACUAUGGUGACUAUGGCGGCGUUAUAGACAGAGGUUUUCAUAACUCCAAGGGAGGGGCCCUUUACCAAAGAGGAGUUGGAUGAAGUUCGAGACAAGUGGGCUACUUACUUUAACGAUUGUGAACUACCCUCAGUGUAAUAAAUAGAGCAGCAGACUUGUAGUUAUCUGUGACUCUUAUAUUAUUUGUUAUUUAUCGAUUUAAUUAAUUACAUUUGAACUAAUUCGGUAAUAUUAUUGAAAUUUUGAAAUUUAUAUCAUUUUUGAGGAAUGUCAAGAUGAUGUUUGGUGAAACAGUAUUCUAUAAAUUAUAAUGCAGAAUUUUAUAUUGCAAAA